rnacentral:rRNA from 1 species
UGAGUCCUACGGGACGCAGCAGUGAGGAAUAUUGGUCAAUGGGCGCAAGCCUGAACCAGCCAAGUCGCGUGAGGGAAGACGGCGCUACGGGUUGUAAUCCUCUUUUGCCGGGGAGCAAGCCUGAGCACGUGUGCCCAGGCGGAGAGUACCCGGAGAAAAAGCAUCAGCUAACUCCGUGCCAGCAGCCGCGGUAAUACGGAGGAUGCGAGCGUUAUCCGGAUUUAUUGGGUUUAAAGGGUGCGCAGGCGGGCUGUUAAUCCGGCGGUAAAAAUUCAGGGC